AAGCAGUUCGAGCUAAGCUUUCAUGAGAUGCAAAUUAAAAGAACUUUAAGUGUCUAGCAGUUAUGGAUGCUUUGCUAAGUUAAAUUAUGUUUACAUCAGGAAAUCACCAAACUAUGGAACUGUUGAUAUCUUAGCUUAUCAUGAAAGGAAGAAUGAGUCUUUCGAAAAACUACAAGACAGCAACUAAUUUGAAUUACGAAAGA
rnacentral:misc_RNA from 1 species